CUCGAAGAGCGGCGUCCCGGGGCCGCACCGCCUGUGCCGGGCCUCGUACCGCCGGAGGCGCGCCGCGAGGUAGGGCGACGGGCGGAACCGCGACGGACGGCGGUAGAGGGACGGCGACGCGUACCGGGAACGGCACGACUGCUCGUCGAAGGCCGGGGAGAGCAGCCCGCCGAGGAGGCGGUCGUCCUGGUCGCGCCGAGGCGACGACGCCGGCUUGUCACGGUCAGCCGCCGCACGCACGGGUGAUGUCGCGUGGACUGCACGAUUAAAUCACGGCUCCAAUGUUAAGCUUACAAUCGCUCUUGCACCACGGGCUCGUCUCGCAAAAAGGAUGAACACGAUAGUUGUUGUUGGUUACCUGGCUUUCGCACGAACUGUACUCCUUGCAAAGAGGAUGGCAGCAGGCCGCGCGCGCCGCCGGCGCCGAACGCCAGCACGAGCAGCGCCAUGGUAGCCAGCAGCGCGACGACCACCACCUCGGCCGCGGGCGCACGCCAUCCCCGCCUCGCCGGCUUCCCGGUGCCACCACCCCACGUCCCGACGCAGCAGAANNNNN
rnacentral:lncRNA from 1 species